GAUGAACGCUGGCGGCGUGCCUAAUACAUGCAAGUCGAGCGAACAGACGAGGAGCUUGCUCCUCUGACGUUAGCGGCGGACGGGUGAGUAACACGUGGAUAACCUACCUAUAAGACUGGGAUAACUUCGGGAAACCGGAGCUAAUACCGGAUAAUAUAUUGAACCGCAUGGUUCAAUAGUGAAAGACGGUUUUGCUGUCACUUAUAGAUGGAUCCGCGCCGCAUGAGCUAGUUGGUAAGGUAACGGCUUACCAAGGCAACGAUGCGUAGCCGACCUGAUAGGGGGAUCGGCCACACUGGAGCUGAGACACGCUCCAUAGUCCUACGGUAGGCAGCAGUAGGGAAUCUUCCGCAAUGGGCGAAAGCCUGACGGAGCAACGCCGCGUGAGUGAUGAAGGUCUUCGGAUCGUAAAACUCUGUUAUUAGGGAAGAACAAAUGUGUAAGUAACUAUGCACGUCUUGACGGUACCUAAUCAGAAAGCCACGGCUAACUACGUG
rnacentral:rRNA from 1 species